UCUCGAUCCCUUCUUGCUUGCGAGCUGUUUCCCUCACCUUGAAAUUAAGCUUCUAUUUGAUUCCUGACUUUCCUGUCUGGGCAUCCACAGGUUGGAGGCGGGUUCAGUCCGGCUGACAAGGCUUUCUACGUUUAUCUAAGCUAGUCCACAGAAGGAUGAGGAAACUGAUACCCAAGAAGGUCUCAUGAUCUCCCCAUGAGCAUACAGCAUCAGGUGCAACCUAAACAAAAUCACAGAGAUGGGAAACUGAGGAACAGCACAACGACAGACAUAUUCAUCACCAUCACUGAGAAAUGAUCAUCUAGUCUGGCCUGAAGACCUCCAGCUCCCAGAUGUGUCAGCCAUACAGAUGGAAGAAUGGCAGGAUGCAGUCUUGACAGCAUCACAAAACAGGCUGUGUGUUGGCUUGACUUCUGGAAUCACAGCUAGAAGAGAAAAGAAUGGGUCUGCCUUCCUCUUUCAGUUUUCCCAUAGGCUCAACAUAUGUUUCACAGGCAGCAGGGAAUGUUAUGGAGUGUUCCAGCCAUAGCUCCAUAUUUCAAUGAUGGUGGGUACCAUAAAGAAUAAACUCAUUGAAAGACAUAAGGAAAUCCUAUAUAUGGCAUCCAAAAGGAAAGAAAGAAGAUCACCUUCUCAAGCUUCUUCAUCAAGGGUGUUGUCAUUCUCUCUGUUCAAUGAUACAUCUCUAGGUUGCCAUUUCAGACCAUUGAAUUAAUGGCCAGUAUAAGGCAUGUGCAAUCUAAGAUGCACUUUAACAAGAUGCUGCCUUAAGGUCACUGGCAGUAGCAACAGAUUACAUUAUGGGAUUAUACUUUUGUAAAGAGACUGUGCUAUGUAAUAUUGCAUA